rnacentral:tRNA from 1 species
GCUGUUGUGGCUCAGUUGGUAGAGCGGCGCACUCGUAAUGCGCAGGUCACCGGUUCAAAUCCGGUCAACAGCU